rnacentral:snoRNA from 1 species
AAGACUAUACUUUCAGGGAUCAUUUCUAUAGUUUGUAACUCGUGGAAUGUGCUCGAAAGUGUCUAAACUCAGUAACCACAAGGAAGAGAUUCAGGGUUUUCUCCUGAGCAUGAGAUGAGUUCCUGUGUUACUUUUGAUGAAUGUUCUGGGUUCCUUAAAUGGGACUUAGAACAGAGAAAACCCAAUCUGAGUGGUG